AUGGUGACUCUGACAGUAGUAAACUGCUGCAUCUUCAGCCUGAACUCCACUGAUGGUCAAAUGGAAAGAUGCUUGCAGAGAGUGCAGGAGGUUUUUGUACGGCCUCUUAAUGACUUUGUAUCACUGUGGUACACGUUUGGUGGAGGAACCAAACUCAUCCAUCACUCUGGCCCCAAGGUCAGACCCUCAGUCUCUCUGCUGACUCCCUCCUCUGAGCAGCUCUCCAGGGGCUCGGCCACGCUGGUCUGCCUGCUGAGCGGCUACUCCCCUCAGGGAGCCGUUGUGAGCUGGGAGGUGGACGGUACCGAGGUGAGAGAGGGGGUCCUGACCAGCCCAGAGGAGGAGAAGAGCGGACGUUACAGCAGCAGCAGCACCUUAAGCCUGAGCCAGGAGACCUGGAUGAAAGGAGAGAUGUACUCGUGCAGGGUCCUCCAUCACGACCACACCACGGCCCAGACCAUCCAAAGGAGCCGCUGUGAGGGCUAGAGAGGCUGAUGAAGCCCAGGACAGGAGUUCUGGGAGGGAGAGCAGGAGGA